GGACCGACUGUUAGCUGCAAGAGACUGGAGCACUGAAGUCAGAUGAUUGAUCUUCAUGUCCAGUUCGUUAAGUGCCUCCAGAAUUGUCCUCUCAACAGCUGCAACACAUUAGAUGGGUCUUCACCCCAAGCAUCCUCUUGCUCAUUUUCAUUGGACAAGCUCACUGGAACAGCUGGAGUUAAGAAAGGUGAAGUUGGUGAGUGUUCACCCCAAGUAUCUUGUGGCUCAUCUGCCUGGGAGAAGCUCAUGGGAACAUCUGGAGCUGAGAAUGAUGGAACUGAAUUCUGGCCUGAUGCUUGGUCCAACCCUUAUCUGGCUGUGGUGCCUCCAUCGACCUGACGCUCUUUAGUAACCGGUCCAAGUCUUUGUAUGGAGGCCACCAUGAGUGGCCAUCUGAGUACCAGGACUUUGCUACAGGACCGGUACUCCCUUCUCCGACGAACUCCACUAUCAGAAAUGUGUUGGUCCUGAGAUGCCAUCAACUAGAUGAAUACCAAGUUCUGAGGAUGGAAGGGGAUAAUCAAAAAAAGGUUCAUGAUUGUUGAAGUGGCUUGAAAUCCUGACAGCCUGCAAGUUAGAGGACCCAGUCGAAGCCACAAGUGGAGAAGCCGCCUCAUGACACCAAGGCACACAAGGUGCAUGUAAUCAAGGGGGAAUCCAGAGACCAUAUCCAAGGAUGUUUCUUCUAGAGGUGCACACCAUCCUGAAUGCACUUUUCGCAUCCAUGGUAGCCUGCGUGGCCCUUCACUUUUUUCAGAAAUGCACGUGGAGGUGCUUCGCAAAUCAUUCAGACUUCUGUCCUGAUGUUUGGCUGUGGUCCCCCCAUCAUCCACUCUUCUGCAACCGGUUUAUUUAUGGAGACCGCCAUGAUCUAAUCUAUACAGAUCUAGUUGUCUCUUCUCCCACAAACUCCUCUUUCAGCUCACCAGAACCUCUGGGUGCACCAGCUGUGGAUAUUACAGGCCAAACUUUGGACACCCUAGGACAACAUGCUAAGAAGCACAGAUCUACCGAUAGCCCUCCAUCAUUCCCACAUCCAUCUUGCAACAAAGUUUCAUUAAGUGCAGUCCAUAACCAGUGUCUGCCAUACACCGUCUGCACCUUGUCCAUUGCAGAUGUUAUGGAUUAUUUUAUUAGAGAUCUUUCUAUUUUUUUUGAGACUGUUACUAUGUAGUCUGUUAUGUUGUGAAUAAAGUCAAACCCCCCCUCACCUCGAUGCUUUGAGCAGUUAAUACAUUAAAGUGUG
ensembl:lncRNA